AAGGGUUACAGUGCUUUUAGAAUUUGUCUAGCAAGCUUUCCGUUUUUGGCUGGAAAACCUCAA
rnacentral:snRNA from 1 species